AUGGUUACUGAAGAAACCAAAUCAAAGAAGCAAAUAAAUGAGGAAUGCAUCAUAAACCGCCUCCCGGUAGACAUCAUUGAGCGGAUAUUUUUGGGGCUUCCAGUGAGCACUCUGUUGACGUGCGUCGGAGUCUGCAAGCACUGGCACAACAUCAUCCGGGAUCCACAGUUUGUUGCAUUGCACCUCCAGUGUGCGCCAAAUUAUGCCCUUCUGUUCUUCCCGCGAGGUUUGGUUUCAGGCGAGCCCUACCCUAGUGAUGCUGUCCUAAUUGAUGAAGCCUGGGCGCCAUCGAGAUAUGCAGUGCCAGUGAUUGGGCCUGAUGAUUUCCUUUUCGGUUCAUGCAAUGGCCUUCUUGGCUUAUACACAAAGACAUCAAUGAUUAAGAUAGCUAACCUUGCAACUGGUGAAUGUCUACAUCUUCAGAAACCUGCGAAGAAUGUGAAAGACAGGUUCAACAUCAUCCAAGUUUACACACUCGGCGAUGAGAAAUGGAAAGAUAUCCAAACUCCAAAAGCUCUUAGCUUGAUCAGUGUGAGAAACUCUGGAGUUGUCAAUGUUGAUGGCAAAAUGUAUUGGUUAACUGAAGACAUGUCAGCUAACUGGCAGCAUUCAGUUUUGUCCUUUGAUCUAUUGGAAGAAAGUUUUGCAAUGAUACAACUGCCAGCAGCACGCGAAGAUCAUGAUUACUAUGGUUCUCGUAAGUUCUUGAUCAGAGAUAUAGAUGGGAAAAUAUGUAUAGUGACUGCUCAAACUAGUCGUUAUGAUGCCAGAACUCUUGUCGGUGAGCUGCAGAUCUGGGCACUUGACAACAUGGUAGAGCAAAGGGAUAGAAUCCUCACACAACGUGGCCACAAUAAUGUAUGUUCGUACGGGUUGCUUGGUGAGAACUUCGAGAUUGAUUCAAGUAAGAUGGUGAAGCUGUUAGAUUUCAGUCCCUGCAGGCACAACUUGCAAUCUCACAACUGUGUGAAGUCACUUACCAACACAGGAGAGCACAAAAAGGACGACGACGACUACAUCGCUAGUCUCAUGACCAUGGGGUUCCAGCCAUGUCGACGCCCAUACACUUCCUGCACCACCAUCACCAGCUUGCUGGAUCUAUGUCACAACAGUCCUCAAAGAGCUCCUUUCUGCAAGGACCUUCUUUUAGUCGUUUGCUCAAAACCAUCUAUGCUAACAAUGUUGGCCCUCGAGCUCUGGCUUCAUCCAUCUUCUCACCUAAAAGGAAAUCAGUUUCUCAAUCUGGAUCCUCUCCGAUCGCUCCAUGGCGGCGGCCAUGACGAAUCCUUCGACGGCGGCCGCGCUCAGCUAGCCGACCUCCGCGUUCUCCUGCCUCAAACGGCUCCACGGCCCGACGGCUCCAUGGCUCCUUUCGACGGCUGCGGCGAGAUGGACAUCCACCACGUUUGUCCUACCUCCGCGCCUGCCUACCUUCUUGCCGGUUCCCGACGCCGAGUCCGCCGCCGGCCACAACCUGCACACCAUCUACUGCUCCCUCGCAUCCACGGUUGCUCCUUGGCCUGA
rnacentral:rRNA from 1 species